rnacentral:pre_miRNA from 1 species
GAGGGAGCGCCGGAUCCUGGGCUGUGUCCUCCUGCCCUGGGCUCCCGAGCCUGCGCUGUUGGAAUCGUACCCCGGCCAUGCAGCCUCUU